UGUGUUACUUUAAUUCGUCUUUAUUACUGAGGCUGUAGGUUGCAGAGGUCUUGUACUGGACUGCAUUAUACUGAGAGGUGUUUCCAUUUUU